rnacentral:misc_RNA from 1 species
GAGAUACUCUGGCCACGCCAUACCCAGCCGCAUCCUCACCCGAUAAGGGAUGACAAAUUCCACAGUAGGGAAAACAAUCAUCAUCAUAAUAUCAUCAUUUACAUUUCUGAAUUUCUCACAAAUCCAGUCUCUUCCGCGCGCAACAAGUUUUAGAGACCACAAUCCAUUUAGACAUUGAUGACAGAGUCUUGUGACCAAGAGAAACUGUUGACGGAAG